rnacentral:rRNA from 1 species
CAGUAGCCGCGGGAAUACAGAGGGUGCAAGCGUUAAUCGGAAUUACUGGGCGUAAAGCGCGCGUAGGUGGUUUGUUAAGUUGGAUGUGAAAGCCCCGGGCUCAACCUGGGAACUGCAUCCAAAACUGGCAAGCUAGAGUACGGUAGAGGGUGGUGGAAUUUACUGUGUAGCGGUGAAAUGCGUAGAUAUAGGAAGGAACACCAGUGGCGAAGGCGACCACCUGGACUGAUACUGACACUGAGGUGCGAAAGCGUGGGGAGCAAACAGGAUUAGAUACCGAGUAGUCCCUGUCUCUUAUACA